CGGGCUAAAAUGGGGAAAAUACCAAGUUGUGGAAGAAAUGGUAAAAGUAGCCAUUUUCGCAUACGAGUGUUGACAAGCCAGCUCGGAAAUCGGAAACGGUCGGAGGCACGCUCACACUAUCCGUAUACCAUCUUGGCAUAAUGGCUUGUAUAUUUUGAGUAUGGCAUGUAUAGCAUUAUAAUCAUUUUGUGUAUAUGGUCUUAUGAUAUGGUUAUUGAGUGGUAUGGAAAUGCUUGGUAAUGAUUAGCCAUUGGAAUGGCUAAUCAUGAUCAUAUUUGGUGUUAUGUAUGCUAAAUUGCUAGCUAAUCCAUGGAAACCAUGAAAUAGGUAAAAUUUACCAUAAAAUAGAUUCAGACAGCAGCAGUGACGUGAGUUUGAAAAAUCACUAAAAAUAGUAAAGAUACAAUUAGAUGAUGAAUAAUAUAUGGAAUUGAAGAA